CAGACAUUUCCUGACGAAAGCACAGGGGGAAAUUCCAGCGGCUCUGCUCACCCUCGAAAGAACUCCAGCCAAGGCUAACCUGCAAGAUUUCUACGGCUUGCUUGCUGGUUUCAUCACCUGUACAACUGGCCACAGGAAGGGGGUCCUGGCCAACAUGAGGGUGGAGGAAGUGAACUCGGCAGAAUGUGACGUUUCCGGCCGACGGAUUAUUGGAGUAUCGCAGCAUAAGACAAAGGAGACAUUUGGUCAGGCUUUGAUUCCGCUCAAGAAGGACGAGUACAGGUGGUUCAGCCACUUCAUCCGCUGCCGUCGCAAGUUGCCCUGCGGCGAUUCCGAGACGUUCUUCGCCAACUCCAAUGGCGGCCCCUUCACCAAGCUGCUCGAGUCGUUCCAGGCCAGCUGGAAACGCUUCGGCCUUCCUGGAACACCGACCUUCACGCUCGUCCGCAGCAGUAUCAGCACCUGUAUCGGGAGAUCUCUGGAAACACACAAGAAGUCAAGAGUUCGCCGGAUGAUGUGCCACUCCAAUGCAAUGGCAGAGAAAUUCUAUGAAGCUGACUUGGACUUUCAUGAGGCGUUCGAGGCACGGGGGUACACGGCCGAUGCCAUUUGUCAGAGCUCUCGAAGGAGCGCACGACCACAGGACUCAGACGCCAACCCAUCGUCGAGCGCUGAGGAGGAGCAGUCAAGCCAAGGGGACGGCUCAGAGACGCAGGAAGAGGAAGGGGAAAUGGAGGCAGAGGAAAUGGGGAGAAUGGACCCUGAACCGAUGGUGACAAGACUACAAAAGCAGUUGCGAGAGAGAGCGGCCAAAGCUGGUUGCGAGGCAGGUGCUGGAAACCGCCGACGGCUGGCCAAACGGGGAAGCAGCGACACGGACGCUGAGCAGGCUCCAAGACGGGAGAAAAUGCAGCCAGCAAGUUUGUCUUCAAGCGACGAGGAGGAUAUGUCCCGGAGAAAGAGAAAGAGAAAGACACCGAUGAUUUUUGAAGACUCUUCUGAAAGUGACAGCUUGCCAUUGGCUCAUGAGCGGAAGGAGGCUGACGAGGAAGUCAUAUGCCUGUCCUCCUGUUCAGAGGAUGAUGAAACAACCAGAGACGAGGCAGUGGACGACGACAGAAGAGCUUUCCAAGUCCAUACCUGUUGA
rnacentral:lncRNA from 1 species